rnacentral:tRNA from 1 species
GGUCUAUUCGUCUAAUGGUUAGGACACAAGGUUUUCAUUCUUGUAACAGCAGUUCGACUCUGCUAUAGACUA